AACCUUCCUUGGGUCGGCACGGAGGUCGCCUUACGGCACUCAAAAUCCCAGACCAGCUCCUCGGAAGUUGGAACCGCCCGGACGAGGUGCUGGAGGCCAGUGGUGGCUCCGGACGGGAGCCAUGAUCGACUUGGUGCGGGAGUUCUGGGGAGGGGGCCGUGGAGGGAUGCUUGGAGACGGGGAAAACCAAAGGCCCUUACGGCGAGGGGAGGACCGUGGCGAUGGGGUUGGGCUGCUGCACUACUCGACAGGUUUGCUCUCGUCACAGAAGCAAAACCCUAAGAUGCUCUUUGGGAGGAGCGAUGUUGGAGAAGGGGUUUUGCUGCGUGGCAGAAGCUUCAGGACACCUGGCGGCGUUGGCGGGGUGGGGGACAAAAGAACGAGGUAGAGAACGCCACUCGAGACGGUGGAGGAUAUUGGAGACGGAUCAGAGGACGCCAUCGUAAGAGAAGAGGAUCAAGAAGCACAAGAAGGCAGGCAAAGUUGGGAGAAGGGAAAUUGAGAUGUAGUUGGCGAGAGAACAAGAUCCCGGCGAAGAAGUGCAAGAAGAAAGGACCCGGGAGGUAGCUGGGAUGGGAGCCAUGAUCGAUUUGUUUUAUUUAUUUAUUUAUUUAUUUACAAAAAACCCACUGUACCCCCCAAAAAAAACAUUACCUAAUUAUGUCUUGGGUACAAUAAAAAUUUCAGUUGUACAAGAUUUCUAAACAUAUAUCAACGAUUUAAUU